rnacentral:rRNA from 1 species
CGCCCUUUGACUAAAACUAUAUAAAGGGUCCUGCCUGCCCAGUGACUUUUAAAGGUUAAACGGCCGCGGUAUCUUGACCGUGCGAAGGUAGCAUAAUCAUUUGUCUCCUAAAUAGAGACUGGUAUGAAUGGCAAGACGGAACUACACUGUCUCCUUUUUCUAGAUCUGAACUUCACAUUCCCGUGAAGAGGCGAGAAUAAUUUCGUUAGACGAGAAGACCCUGUCGAGCUUAAACGAAACCCUAGUAUUUAAUAUCUUUGUACUUACUCUAAUUUAUAAUUCUAAACAAAUCCAAAGAAUAAAUAAUCAGGCUUAGUUUUGGUUGGGGCAACCACGGAGAAACUAAAUCCUCCGUUAACAUUUAACAUAAGACUCACAAGUCUAAUAUUACUUUAUAGUAAGUGAAUGAUCCACUCCGGUGAUCAAAGGAAAAAGUUACCGCAGGGAUAACAGCGUUAUCUUUUUUGAGAGUUCAUAUUGACAAAAAGGUUUGCGACCUCGAUGUUGGAUCGGGACAUCCUAAGGGUGCAGAAGCUUUUAAGGGUUGGUCUGUUCGACCAUUAAAGUCCU